CAACCAUCAAGCCCCCCGGCUUGUGUUGGGGACCUGCGGCUGCCGCAGGCCCUGAAAACCAGUGGCGGGCUCGCUAGUCACUCCGAGCGUAGUAGUUACAUCUCGCUCAGGGCGUGCUGCGGGUUCCGGCCGUUAAACGCCUUAUUUACCCAA
rnacentral:misc_RNA from 1 species